CCCUUAGAUGUCCUGGGCCGCACGCGCGCUACACUGAGUGUCUGAGAUACGAGUCUGCCUAGCCGGCGAGGCCUAGGUAAUCGCUGAAAGACACAUCAUGCUUGGGAUAGAUUAUUGCAGAUAUUAAUCUUGAACGAGGAAUUCCUAGUAAGCGCAAGUCAACAGCUUGCGUUGAUUACGUCCCUGCCCUUUGUACACACCGCCCGUCGCUACUACUGAUUGGAUGUUAAAGCGAGGUUCUCGAACUGCUAGCGACUUAGCUUCGGUGAGGUCGCCGUGUGGGAAGUGAACCUAGCUUUGGUGUCUAGAGGAAGUAAAAGUCGUAUCA
rnacentral:rRNA from 1 species